rnacentral:rRNA from 1 species
GCAUAUCAAUAAGCGGAGGAAAAGAAAAUACAAUGAUUUCCCCAGUAACUGCGAGUGAAGAGGGACAAGCUCAAAUUUUAAAUCUGUCGGGUUCUACCUGACCGAGUUGCAAUUUGAAGAGGCGUUUUCUGUGUUUCUGAUCAGUCUAAGUCCUUUGGGAUAAGGCAUCACGGAGGGUGAGAAUCCCGUUCGGUUGAUCAGAUUCGCUUUACGAUACGCUUUCAAAGAGUCAAGUUGUUUGGGAUUGCAGCUUAAAAUGGGAGGUAAAUUUCUCCUAAGGCUAAAUAACGGCGAGAGACCGAUAGCGAACAAGUACCGUGAGGGAAAGAUGAAAAGAACUUUGAAAAGAGAGUUAAAUAGUACGUGAAAUUGUUGAAAGGGAAACGAUUGAAGCCAGUCGUACCUGCGGGUAAUCAGCCUUUUGGGCAUGAUUCUGUGGAGCGUGAGGAGUUAAACGCCUUCAUGCCUGCAUAUUCGUGUACUUUGGGUGUACUUGCCUGUGUGGUUAGUUAACAUCAAUUUUGGUUAUCAUAAAAUGGUUGGAGGAAUGUAGCUUCGAUUUCGAUUGAAGUGUUAUAGCCUUCGGCAGAUGUGAUGAUCGGGAUUGAGGAUUGCAACGGAUACCCUUCGGGGCUACCUGUCUGGUCUCUGAUCGUUGCUCUGGUGCCGAAAGCGUGCUUACGGUUAUCAAAGUCGAUGGUCAAUAGGUUAGAACGGGUUAAAUUCGUUAAGGAUGUUGACGUA